rnacentral:piRNA from 1 species
ACGAAUCAAAGCGGACGCAGGCAGGG